GUGUGUGGACGGGGGAUCACUCGGCUCGUCCGUCGAUGAAGAGCGCGGCUAUCCGCGUGAACUAAUCCGUAUUGCAGGACUCAGUGAACAUCGACACCUCGAACGCACAUUGCAGCCCCGGGAUCCCAUCGUCCCGGGGCCCCGUCCGGUCGAAAGAAA
rfam:Octopus bimaculoides Scaffold13965_contig_126, whole genome shotgun sequence.